UGCCAGCAGCCGCGGUAAUAUAUACGGGUCAAGCGUUGUCCGGAUUUAUUGGGCGUAAAGAGUUCGUAGGUGGUUGAAAAAGUUAGUGGUGAAAUCCCAGAGCUUAACUCUGGAACUGCCAUUAAAACUUUUCAGCUAGAGUAUGACAGAGGAAAGCAGAAUUUCUAGUGUAGAGGUGAAAUUCGUAGAUAUUAGAAAGAACACCAAUUGCGAAGGCAGCUUUCUGGAUCAUUACUGACACUGAGGUGCGAAAGCAUGGGUAGCGAAGAGGAUUAGAUA
rnacentral:rRNA from 1 species